AUUGAACGCUGGCGGAAUGCUUUACACAUGCAAGUCGAACGGCAGCACGGACUUCGGUCUGGUGGCGAGUGGCGAAUGGGUGAGUAAUGUAUCGGAACGUGCCCAGUCGUGGGGGAUAACGUAGUGAAAAUUACGCUAAUACCGCAUACGAUCUAUGGAUGAAAGCGGGGGAUCGCAAGACCUCGCGCGAUUGGAGCGGCCGAUAUCAGAUUAGGUAGUUGGUGGGGUAAAGGCCUACCAAGCCAACGAUCUGUAGCUGGUCUGAGAGGACGACCAGCCACACUGGAACUGAGACACGGUCCAGACUCCUACGGGAGGCAGCAGUGGGGAAUUUUGGACAAUGGCGAAAGCCUGAUCCAGCCAUUCCGCGUGCAGGAUGAAGGCCCUCGGGUUGUAAACUGCUUUUGUACAGAACGAAAAGGUUUCUACUAAUACUAGGAGCUCAUGACGGUACUGUAAGAAUAAGCACCGGCUAACUACGUGCCAGCCGCCGCAGUAA
rnacentral:rRNA from 1 species